rnacentral:lncRNA from 1 species
CGACAAGACUACGCCUCACUCGACCUACAGGUGGAUCGGGACGCUUGUCGUCUUUCUCAUCUACUCCUUGAGGGUUUUCUCUAUUCACGGUUUCUACAUCAUCUCCUACGCCCUCGGCAUCUACCUCUUGAACCUCCUCAUCGGCUUCUUGUCCCCUCUUGUUGAUCCUGAGCUCGACCUCUCCUCUGAUGGUGGAGCUUCUCUCCCUACUCGAGGCUCUGAUGAGUUCAAGCCUUUUAUCCGCCGUCUCCCCGAGUUCAAAUUCUGGUUACUCUCUACCUAUUCCCUCGGUUUCACAAAGAAUGUCAGUUAUACACUUUUCAUAGAUAUUAAAAAGUUCAUUAAAAUGCAUUUAUGUUUUCAUUAAUACUCCCUCCGUUUUUUUAUAUAAAUCGUUUUACAACUAUGCACGUAGAUUAAGAAAACCAUUAAUUUCUUAUAUUUUUUAAACAAAAACAUCAUUAAUUAUUUACAUAACCACAAUUCAACCAAUAUAAAAAUAAAAGAUAUAUUACCAUUGGUCAUACAACAUUAAUUACUAAUAAAUUUUACAUAGAAAAUCGAAAACGACAUAUAAUUUGGAACAAAAAAAUUUCUCUACAACGACUUAUAUUAAAAAACGGAGGGCGUAUUUAAACUGGACCUAAUGUGUUAAGCAAAAUAUUAGAGUUUCGAUCGGUAGUCAUAUAUCACAUAACACAUUUUCAUUUAACUGGCUACGGACCAACUAUAAACUCACCCAAACCGGAUCUAAAUCAUGAAUAUGUCAUGGUCACUCAAUCAAUAGUAUGUUUUUAAACUCAAGCAAAACAAGGCAUUGCAAACUUCGUAAAACGUUUAGUUUCAAUUACAUAUCACUAAGAGUAUCUUUUUCCAAAUUUCCAUUUUUUUUCUUGAUAUAUCUACCUAAAAAAUCUAAAUGUUAAUAUUCGCAUGGGUAAUAAUUAACUAAUGUUCGAUAAAAUAAACUAAAAUAGCGAAGUUAAUUAAAUAUACAAUUUAUUCGGUACAUCAUUCCCUCAUAGACUUUUGUAACCACUUAUUCUCACAUUUUUUGUCAACGAUAUAAAAACAAAACGACUCAUACAUACAUUUUUGAAUUAUUAAACUUAUGUUUUGGGGACCAAACUCUAUUCACAAUACUGUUAUACAAGAAAACGCGUAGCAAAUAUAUGUUACCCUCCUUUAAAAAAAAUCGUAUUAAAAAAAAAAUAGUUCUUUUUUACAAUAACAGCUGAAAAAAGAAAAAGAAAGAAAAAGGAGAUAAAAUAAAAAUCAACCCAUUAAUCUGUUUACAAACAUGUGUAAUCCUAACCCUAGUAAACCGACAUACAACCAAACUCAGUUAAAUGACUCACUUAGGCAUGGAUAUACGGGAUCCCAAUCGGGUUUCGGUUUUGUCAAAUCGGAUCUCAGUUUUUCGGAUUUAUCAAAAUCAACUUCAUUCGGGUUAUAUGAAAAUUUGGUUGGGGACCGGUUCGGGUUCUAUCCGGUUCGGGUUGGGGUUAGUAAAUCUUCAAAGAACCGGUACAACCCAUUAUACUUUCGGAUUCGGAUCCCAAUCGGGUUUUCGGUUUAAAAGGUACUUGAUUUAUACAUAUUUUGUAAUCAAAACAUAAGUAAAAUCAUUCAAAAAUAAGAAAAAAACAUCAAACGUGAUCAUUCAAAAUCAAACGAAAGAUAAACAUAGUUAUUGAUAAAAGGAAAACCAAAUAAAUGAGAGUAUAAAACGAAAAGCAAGUUCUCAUGAAAAAUGAAAAUAAAACAAAAAUCUAAAAACUUCAAGCUUCAAGAGCCACAUUCAACCAUCAAUCUUCAUGUAAUAGAUAAUUAUUUUAGAUGUUCAAUAAUAUCUUAAUGUAUCUUAGAUACAUAUUAAGAAUUGAGAUCAUGUUUCGUACGAUUUUUUUUUGGAAUUUUGAAAUCUUUCGGGUUCUAUCGGGUAUCCAUUUAUGUUCGGAUUCAGUUCGGACAAUACCCAUAAUCCAAAAUAUCAUAAAACAAGAUCCAUUUGCUAUUUACGUCGGGUUCGGAUUUAUUUUUAUCGGAUCGGAUUCGGUUCGGGUUUUCGGGUUCGGUUUAUUUGCCGAGCCCUAGAGUCACAUGUUAAAUAUGGGUGUAGAAGUGGCAAACGCAAACUAGUAGGUGAAUAUGAAAGAAGAAGAAAAAGAACUUUCCGGGGUUACACUGAGCCAUACAUUUUAUUGGUGGGCUAUUGCGUAAAUAUAAAAACCCACGAGGAAAUUAAUUAAAAAAAACCGAGAAAACGAAUUCUUGUUAGACAUUCUUCUUUGCUUAGCCAGAGAUCUGCUUAGCUUCAUCAGAGAAGCUCUUCUCCCGUAAGUUGUUUGAAUCUCAGCAUCUCCGAUUUUCCUUUGGGUUUCCAACUCCAGAUCUCACUUACGCCAUCUCUUGAAAAUCUAUUUGGUAGGUGGAGAAUCAAUUUCAUAACCUACUUUUGUCAUUGUUUGUCUAAAGAUGUAAUUUUAAUUCUAAUCUCCAUUAGGUUUUUCAAGAAUCGCAAAUGGACGGAAGCGGCGGCGGUGGUGGUUCUUUAGCCACACCUGUUCAAAAGAAGGCUCACGAGGCGUGGAGGAUGUACAAGUAUUACCUCGACAAGACUACGCCUCACUCGACCUACAGGUGGAUCGGGACGCUUGUCGUCUUUCUCAUCUACUCCUUGAGGGUUUUCUCUAUUCACGGUUUCUACAUCAUCUCCUACGCCCUCGGCAUCUACCUCUUGAACCUCCUCAUCGGCUUCUUGUCCCCUCUUGUUGAUCCUGAGCUCGACCUCUCCUCUGAUGCUGGAGCUUCUCUCCCUACUCGAGGCUCUGAUGAGUUCAAGCCUUUUAUCCGCCGUCUCCCCGAGUUCAAAUUCUGGUUUUCUAUUUAAUUAUGCACUUAA